UAAGGUAACGGCUUACCAAGGCAAUGAUGCAUAGCCGAGUUGAGAGACUGAUCGGCCACAAUGGAACUGAGACACGGUCCAUACUCCUACGGGAGGCAGCAGUAGGGAAUCUUCCACAAUGGGCGCAAGCCUGAUGGAGCAACACCGCGUGAGUGAAGAAGGGUUUCGGCUCGUAAAGCUCUGUUGUUGGAGAAGAACGUGCGUGAGAGUAACUGUUCACGCAGUGACGGUAUCCAACCAGAAAGUCACGGCUAACUAC
rnacentral:rRNA from 1 species